rnacentral:rRNA from 1 species
UGGGGGAUAUUGCACAAUGGAGGAAACUCUGAUGCAGCGACGCCGCGUGGGGGAAGAAGGUCUUCGGAUUGUAAACCUCAGUAGUCAGGGAAGAAGCAAGUGACGGUACCUGAAGAGUAAGCUCCGGCUAACUACGUGCCAGCAGCCGCGGUAAUACGUAGGGAGCGAGCGUUGUCCGGAAUUACUGGGUGUAAAGGGUGCGUAGGCGGGUCAGCAAGUCAGGCGUGAAAUACCGGGGCUCAACUCCGGGGCUGCGCUUGAAACUGUUGGUCUUGAGUGAAGUAGAGGCAGGCGGAAUUCCUAGUGUAGCGGUGAAAUGCGUAGAUAUUAGGAGGAACACCAGUGGCGAAGGCGGCCUGCUGGGCUUUAACUGACGCUGAUGCACGAAAGCAUGGGGAGC